rnacentral:rRNA from 1 species
UACGUAGGGUGCAAGCGUUAAUCGGAAUUACUGGGCGUAAAGCGUGCGCAGGCGGUGAUGUAAGACCGAUGUGAAAUCCCCGGGCUCAACCUGGGAACUGCAUUUGUGACUGCAUGGCUAGAGUACGGUAGAGGGGGAUGGAAUUCCGCGUGUAGCAGUGAAAUGCGUAGAUAUGCGGAGGAACACCGAUGGCGAAGGCAAUCCCCUGGACCUGUACUGACGCUCAUGCACGAAAGCGUGGGGAGCAAACAGG